AAUUGAGAGGGUAUCUCCGUAACUUUAUAGAUGAUUUUUUUCUAUUUUAUUAUUUCGAUUCUUUUGUUCAUUUUUGUUUCAACAACUAUUUUUUCUCUUCAGUUCACGUACUCGUACUGGUACAGGAUGUUUAUAUAUAUAUAUAUAUUUGGCCCACAAUUUAUGUUAUCAGGAUCCAUAAUGAUAAUUCAAAAGUUUAGCUUCAUCUCGUGCAAAAUUAUCGCCUAUUGCUAUCCAAAACAUCCUUUCCCUAAUUUCUCGUUCCAUGAGAUCCAAUCACAGCAGUCCCAUGUUUACUUUUGUCAACACACACUCCCCUACACACCUCUCUUGAGAAAUUAUUGCCUGGGCCAUGGUAGACCAGCGAAUCUCAAAGCACGUGCAUGAUGGAUAACGUGCAAUUGGAAAUUCAUGAAAUACAAGAGUUAAUGUGGCGUGUUAUACACCGUGAGAUUUGGGUGAUCUAUCUGGGCGUCGUCUAGACAAUAAUUUCACACCUUUCUUACCCUACACCAUUGUCCUAUGUUUUCUCCGGCCGGACUAGUUGGCCG
rnacentral:lncRNA from 1 species